GAGGGUAGGCCCCUCGAAGUCUGCUAUGGGGAGCUGGCUUCAAACCGCCUUAAGCUGCUGCAUUAAAGAGGUGCGGUAGUGAGCGUUAAGGAAAAGGCAGCAAUUGAGCUGUCAGGU
rfam:Bacterium J17 isolate J17 NODE_20_length_10016_cov_365.487, whole genome shotgun sequence.